rnacentral:rRNA from 1 species
AGCAGCCGCGGUAAUUCCAGCUCCAAUAGCGUAUAUUAAAGUUGCUGCAGUUAAAAAGCUCGUAGUUGAAUUUCGGGACUAAUAUGUCGGUCGUGCCUCGGUACGUACUGGCUUAUUGGUUUCUCCUUUCUGAAGAACCAUGAUGUCAUUUAUUUGGUGUCGUGGGGAAUCAGGACUGUUACUUUGAAAAAAUUAGAGUGUUUAAAGCAGGCUCACGCUUGAAUACAUUAGCGUGGAAUAAUGAAAUAGGACGUUUGAUUCUAUUUUGUUGGUUUCUAGGAUCGACGUAAUGAUUAAUAGGGAUAGUUGGGGGCAUUAGUAUUCAAUUGUCAGAGGUGAAAUUCUUGGAUUUAUUGAAGACUAACUACUGCGAAAGCAUUUGCCAAGGAUGUUUUCAUUAAUCAAGAACGAAAGUUAGGGGAUCGAAGACGAUCAGAUACCGUCGUAGUCUUAACCAUAAACUAUGCCGACUAGGGAUCGGAUGAUGUUAAUUUUUUAAUGACUCA